AGAACGGAGUCCGAGCAGAGAAGCGUCUUCAGUCGCCUCGGCGCCAGGACGCACACGGUACAAGGUACCCAUUUACUUAAUGUUUCUACAUUAAUGUCUCUAUAUUGUCUAUUCUAUUCUUGGAUUUCUCCGCCGACGUCCCCAAAGAACGGAGUCCGAGCAGAGAAGCGUCUUCAGUCGCCUCGGCGCAAGGACGCAUACGGUACAAGGUACCCAUUUAUUUAAUGUUUUUACAUUAUCUAUUCCGCUUUUGGAUUUCUCUCUGCCGACGUCCUCAAAGAACGGACACCGAGCAGAGGAGCAUUUUCAAUCGCCUCGGUGAAGGGGUGCUCACGACACCAGCACAAUCAUACUAAGCCGGGUGAAUCUCCGUCACGAGCUGACGAGUAUUCAACCCAUUUAUUGGAAAAGAAUCCGACCCGCCCCGGCAAUGUGGGGCUCGGACCCAAAGUUUACUAACUUUGCUAAAAAGUUUAAGUCCCAGUGACCGCUUUAG
rnacentral:lncRNA from 1 species